rnacentral:lncRNA from 1 species
GCAUAUUUUAUUGCACUAUAAUUUAUGUUACGAAUACAUCGAAUAUUAGAUGUAAAUGGGACUAAACACCGCUCGAGCAAAAUAUGCAUUUUUCACUAUUGAAAAUUCUCCGCUACAAUGUACAAGAAUUGGUCCUAUACAUGAUGCAGUUCGACCGCUUGAAGCAAGAGAAGCAGCAAUUGAUUCUUGUCUCGCAUUAACGUCGUGAAGAAAGUUCAACACGCAUCCAGGAUCUGAUGGAACACCAUGAUCAGGCCAUGCCUAAAAUGUUAAUAUAAUGCAAUCAACUUUAUUUUUUUUAAAUAUGUGAGCAUUUCAUAAAUAAUAAUAGCUAUAAUAGGUACUUGAAAAUGAUAAUGGUAAAUCCGUCUGGAUUCUGUGAAACCAGAUCUAUUUCCAUGUAAUAAGAAUUCUCGUAAUGUAUAAUCUGCUGUUGAAGUACGAGACAAAGCACGCACUUUCCAUUCACCUCCAUAUUCGGUAACUUCACCUUCCUCUGGCCAAUAUCGAGCACAUUUAUUCUAAAAAAAAUAUACAUAUUUUUAAAAUAAAAUUUCAAUUAAG